UACGGGAGGCAGCAGUGGGGAAUAUUGCACAAUGGGCGCAAGCCUGAUGCAGCCAUGCCGCGUGUAUGAAAAAGGCCUUCGGGUUGUAAAGUACUUUCAGUCGUGAGGAAGGUGUUAAGGUUAAUAACCUUAGCAAUUGACGUUAGCGACAGAAGAAGCACCGGCUAACUCCGUGCCAGCAGCCGCGGUAAUACGGAGGGUGCGAGCGUUAAUCGGAAUUAUUGGGCGUAAAGGGCACGCAGGCGGUUAAUUAAGUUGGAUGUGAAAUCCCCGGGCUUAACCUGGGAAUGGCAUUCAAGACUGGUUAGCUAGAGUCUUGUAGAGGGGGUAGAAUUCCAUGUGUAGCGGUGAAAUGCGUAGAGAUGUGGAGGAAUACCGGUGGCGAAGGCGGCCCCUGGACAAAGACUGACGCUCAUGUGCGAAAGCGUGGGGAGCAAACAGGGAUUAGAUACC
rnacentral:rRNA from 1 species